CCCCCCCCCCCCCCCGCCCCUCCCGUGGCCGCCAGCCCCCUACUCCUCCUCCGCUCACUUCGUGGACUCCGGCUGAGGCAGCGGCAACCUCCCCUACUGCCCCACCCGCCGCCUUCCCUCGUGGACUCCGGCCUAAGCAGCGGCAAGCGUCGGCAGCAGAGAAGCGGCCGGCUUUCGCCGUGCGGGCCGUGCAGGUGUCUCCAAUUCUUGAUGGGAAUCAGACCGAUGCUGAUUCAAACACUGCAGGGGAGGAAGUUGCUUCAAGGCUGUUGAACAGGCAACAAAGCAGAAAGACUGUUAAAGUUGAAAUCUAGGAAAAACUAAACAACUUCGUCAAAGCUGCACUGUAUUUUGCUUGUUUGGGAAUGGAGGAUAUUAGGUAAUGAUCCGGGUGACGAUCUCUCCAAUCGUGCCAGUAUUUAGACACUUCUACCAUGAGGACAAAUUUAUGUUCAUAUGAUUGGCUCAUAAUUACCCGAUCUUUUCAAAACAUUGCCGAACUCCAAUUCCAAUCGGCCGAUCUAGAUUUCUCUCCGGUUUGUCCUGAAUUUGAUGUCCAAUUCUCUAACCACACAACGACCUAUACGAGAAAAGCAUUGGCAUCGCUCUUUUAUUUGUCAAGGACAAUUUCCCAGAAAAAAAUUGAUAUUAUUUUCUUAUGGAAAUUAGUAGCUUGGCACAGAUACUGGUAUUCCAUGACAGCGAGACUUAGAUUAUAAGAUUAUGUUGUUGUCUUUGCAGUACAUGUGAAUUUUCGCAUAUAUUAUAUUUAAUGUGAAAGCGAAA